rnacentral:rRNA from 1 species
CAGAGGGUGCGAGCGUUGUUCGGAAUUACUGGGCGUAAAGCGCGCGCAGGCGGUCCUUUAAGUCUACCCGUGAAAUGCCGGAGCUCAACUCCGCGCACGCCGGGGGAUACUGGAGGACUGGAGACGAGUAGAGGCAAGCGGAAUUCCGGGUGUAGCGGUGGAAUGCGUAGAGAUCCGGAAGAACACCGGAGGCGAAGGCGGCUUGCUGGGCUUGGUCUGACGCUGAGGCGCGAAAGCGUGGGGAGCGAACAGGAUUAGAUACCCUGGUAGUCCACGCCGUAAACGAUGGGCACUAGACGCGGGUGGGAUCGACCCCUUCCGUGUCGCAGCUAACGCGCUAAGUGCCCCGCCUGGGGAGUACGGCCGCAAGGCUG